UGGGGAAUUUUGGACAAUGGGCGAAGNCUGAUCCAGCAAUGCCGCGUGUGUGAAGAGGCUUCGGUUGUAAGCACUUUGUCCGGAAAGAAAUCCUUGGCUCUAAUACAGUCGGGGGAUGACGGUACCGGAAGAAUAAGCACCGGCUAACUACGUGCCAGCAGCCGCGGUAAUACGUAGGGUGCAAGCGUUAAUCAAGGAAUUACUGGGCGUAAAGCGUGCGCAGGCGGUUUUGCUAAGACCGAUGUGAAAUCCCCGGGCUCAACCUGGGAACUGCAUUGGUGACUGGCAGGCUAGAGUAUGGCAGAGGGGGGUAGAAUUCCACGUGUAGCAGUGAAAUGCGUAGAGAUGUGGAGGAAUACCGAUGGCGAAGGCAGCCCCCUGGGCCAAUACUGACGCUCAUGCACGAAACGCGUGGGGAGCAAACAGGAUUAGAUACCCUGGUAGUCCACGCCCUAAACGAUGUCAACUAGUUGUUGGGGAUUCAUUUCCUUAGUAACGUAGCUAACGCGUGAAGUUGACCGCCUGGGGGAGUACGGUCGCAAGAUUAAACUCAAAUGAAUUGACGG
rnacentral:rRNA from 1 species